UCAUCUUCAGUUGUCGGAAGUUGCUCCACCGCAACCUCUUCUUCUCCAUUUUUCAAACAACCACCGGCGGAAGGGGGUUGGGUUUUUCUCGAAUUCUUUGUUAAUCUCAGCCAUUGUUUGUUUGUAACUAACAAGGAAAUGUCUUCAAUGCAAAGAGCAAAAGAUUUCAAUAAUGCCAGAAAACGGGAAGAAAAAUCACAGAGAAUGUCGGCUUCAAUCAGGUUUUUGGCUCUUUCUCACCGGGAAUUGCUUUUUGCCUUCUCAAUAUUCAAAUUCAUCUUCUCUUUAUUAUACUUUUACCCAUAAACUUGUAAAUCCUUGGACACCUCACUUUGAAGAAGAAAAAAAAAACAUUUAUGCAAACUUGAAAAGGCACAAGGCAAUUUCCUCAUUUUCGAUUUCUCCAAACAAUCAAAAUUCACCCAAAACCCCAUGAAAUUCCUCAUAAAAAAACGUUGUUCCUUCUCCUUCUUCUACCCCUCUUGCUGCUGUUAUUGUUGCUCUCAUCCUUAAAUUUUCCGAUGGACUUAUCAUCACCAUCGUUAUCCUCAUCGUCCCACCAUCGCUACCAUUCAAGCACUCUCUCUAUAGCCCUCGCCUGCCCUUCUUCCUCUCCCUCUGAUGCCGAACUUGAUGCGACCCUCCAAGAAUUUCGGAUUCUAGGUCAGUCCAUGUGCGUCAGACGCCAUAAAACGAAGCCAAUUUAGGGCAACCAGCCGCUGAACGGUGGACCCAUAAAUUUUUACCCUCAUGGAAGAGGAAAAGAUUCGUCAAUGGAACGGAAUUGAGCUUAUAGCGUCGAAAAUUUUGUGUGCAGAGCAGUUAUGGAGGCUCUGGGGAGUCAUUUAACCAAUAAGUACUCUGAAGGUAUGGCUGGAGCUCGAUAUUAUGGCGGUAAUGAGUUUAUUGAUGAAAUUGAAAAGCUUUGUUGCAAAAGGGCGUUGUGUGCUUUUGAUUUAGGUGAUGAAAAUUAGGGUGUGAAUGUGCAGCCUUAUUCGUGUACUUUAGCAAAUUUAGUUGUUUAUACUGGGCUUUUGUUACCCGGUGAUAGAAUUAUGGGACUCGAUACGCCGUCGGGAGAGAACACGAGCCAUGGGUGUUAUAUGCAGAAUGGGAGGAAAGUGUCUACAACUUCAAUUUUCGUUGAGAGUUUGAUGUAUAAGGUAAAUCCGUAGACGGGUUAUAUUGAUUAUGAUAAGUUGGAGAAGAGGGCACUGGAGUAUAGGCCAAAGAUUUUGAUUUGUGGAGGGAGUUCGUAUCCGAGUGAGUGGGAUUAUGCAAGGUUUAGGCAGGCUGCAGAUAAAUGUGGGGCAGUUUUGAUGUGUGAUAUGGCUCAAAUUAGUGGACUUGCGGCAGCGAAGUCUCUGCACUGGCCUCUGGGGUGCUCGCGCAAGGAAAUGUUUUCUUACGCCCGGAUGAGUUUAUCUGCAAAUAUGAAAGCAUUAUAUUUCUAGUGUCAGAUUUACUGAUGGUAAUGAAGUCUGGCCUUUGACGAUAAUCAAAUAAUGCUGAAAUCUAUCAUAUUUAUGUGGACAUGGAAUUUUGUUUUACAAUGGCCUACAUUAGCUUGUUUAGGAAUGUGUUAGUCCCUUCAACUGCUGUGACAUUAUUACUUCAACUACUCAUAAAAGCCUUCGAGGUCCUAGGGUGGUAUAAUUUUUUAUAGAAAGGGUACAGAGCCGAGGAAGAGAGGGAUCCUUUUAAAUCAAGGAGUUGAAAGUGAUCGAUAUGACUUGGAGGAUAAGAUAAACUCCGCUGUCUUUCCAUCAUUACAAGGUGGACCGCAUAAUAACCACAUUGCUGCUCUUGCGAUAGCCUUAAAGCAGGUGGCUUCCCCUGAAUAUAAGGCAUAUAUGCAGCAAGUGAAGAAGAAUGCACAAGCAUUAGCAUUCGCAUUGCUGAGAAAAAAAUGUAGGCUUGUAACUGGAUGCACAGACAACCAUUUGUUACUUUGGGAUCUAAGGCCUCUUGGAUUAACAGGUUGUGAGCUCUGUCAUAUUACUGUCAACAAAGUAGCUAUUUUCGGUGACAAUGGUGCCAUUACUCCUGGGGGAGUAAAGAUUGGUACUCCUGCCAUGACAUCAAGAGGUUGCCUAGAGUCAGAUUUUGAGACCAUGGCUGACUUUCUCCUUAGAGCUGCACAUAUUGCAAUAAUGGUGUA